GCGCUCGUGGCCAAACGGUUAUCGCGCUUGUCUUCCACGCAAAAGCCAAGGUUCGACUCCUGGCCGCGGGUGCA
rnacentral:tRNA from 1 species